CCUGCUCUCCAUGCCUGUCUGAGCACGAGUGAAGUGAAUCAGAGAGAGAUUGCAAGAUGGAGAAAGGAGGUACAGUUGGAGAGAGUGGAGGGGGCAGGAAAGACCAGACAGAGCUGCAUCUCCCAUGAAAACAACUGUGUACAUAAGAUAGAGUGAGUACAUAGAGUACAUAGAAGAGUGAGCUCUGAAAGAACUCUCACAUGGACCCCAGAAAGAGGAGUACUCAACGCCUGCUGCACAGAAGGCAUCAGCAGUUAAGUACUGGCUAGAAAAGCGGAGUCCAUCAAAGGAGAGGACCACAGUGGUAGCUGCCUGCUAAAGCUCUCAGCGUGAAUCAUGUUCCAUCAAUGAAACACACACACAUGUGCAAUAUGGAAGAUGAGUGAAAUCCAGGCUAUCUUCCUGAAGCUACUGUUCCUGGCAAGUGUAGCUGUGGGGACUGAGUUUUGGGCAGCAGCAAAUAACUCCCAGCUUCCAUGUGCUUGAGAGUCAGUUGCCGGGAUGCCAGCAGCUGCAUCCUCAGUCUAAGAUUGCAGCCAAUGAUGAUGUUUUCAUGAAUCCACCGUUCACGUGGCAGCCUCCUGGAGCUCAGACUGAUGCCUGCUCCUCCAGCCUUCCAAUACCUUUGCAAACACCUGAAUUCCACAUUAAUCUCUCUCUGUUUAGAAUACCCAGAGUGGCUUGUGUUUCCUGGGCUGAACCCUGCCUGGAGAGCUGUCCCUGCAAGCUGAACUAACAGAAGAUGAAGAAUGAGGUCUCCCUGAAAUGCCCACCAUAAGACUGCCAGAUAUGGGACUGCUGGAUGACACUCUGGCUACCCCACUGAGUUUUAUGAAAACAUAACAGAAUAAAGACACUUACUUGUCAACUCAGUUACAAGCUAUUGAGGCACUCCAGAGUGACGGCAUGUGAUCCCCCUGACACAAGAAACAGGCCCAGAUAACACACCGUUCAGACCGACAGCAGUUCUGGUUAUGCUGCAGUACAUCAGACGAGUGCUCUUAUCCAUCCACAGUUCUUAUCACAGUUACUUAUGCAUAUAUUCAUUUUUUAUAUAAAAGAAUCUUGAAUCGGUCACUUAAAUAUUGAAUCUCAAUAAUAAAAAAUACUAAAAGUAUA